GGUCCUGUGGCGCAGCGGUUAACGCAUAAUCACUCUGAGAUUAAGACCCAGGUUCAAAUCCUGGCAGGACCC